AGAGUUUGAUCCUGGCUCAGGACGAACGCUGGCGGCGUGCUUAACACAUGCAAGUCGAACGGAAAGGCCCUUCGGGGUACUCGAGUGGCGAACGGGUGAGUAACACGUGGGUGAUCUGCCCUGCACUUUGGGAUAAGCCUGGGAAACUGGGUCUAAUACCGAAUAGGACCGCGCGCUUCAUGGUGUGUGGUGGAAAGCUUUUGCGGUGUGGGAAGGGCCCGCGGCCUAUCAGCUUGUUGGUGGGGUAAUGGCCUACCAAGGCGACGACGGGUAGCCGGCCUGAGAGGGUGACCGGCCACACUGGGACUGAGAUACGGCCCAGACUCCUACGGGAGGCAGCAGUGGGGAAUAUUGCACAAUGGGCGCAAGCCUGAUGCAGCGACGCCGCGUGAGGGAUGACGGCCUUCGGGUUGUAAACCUCUUUCACCAGGGACGAAGCGCAAGUGACGGUACCUGGAGAAGAAGCACCGGCCAACUACGUGCCAGCAGCCGCGGUAAUACGUAGGGUGCGAGCGUUGUCCGGAAUUACUGGGCGUAAAGAGCUCGUAGGUGGUUUGUCGCGUUGUUCGUGAAAACUCACAGCUUAACUGUGGGCGUGCGGGCGAUACGGGCAGACUAGAGUACUGCAGGGGAGACUGGAAUUCCUGGUGUAGCGGUGGAAUGCGCAGAUAUCAGGAGGAACACCGGUGGCGAAGGCGGGUCUCUGGGCAGUAACUGACGCUGAGGAGCGAAAGCGUGGGGAGCGAACAGGAUUAGAUACCCUGGUAGUCCAA
rnacentral:rRNA from 1 species